GACGGGGAUGCAAGUGUUAUCCGGAAUCACUGGGCGUAAAGCGUCUGCAGGUGGUUUCCUAAGUCCACUGUUAAACCUUGAGGCUCAACCUCAAAUCUGCAUUGGAAACUAGGAGACUUGAGUAUAGUAGGGUAGAGGGAAUUUCCAGUGGAGCGGUGAAAUGCGUAGAUAUUGGAAAGAACACCGAUGGCGAAGGCACUCUACUGGGCUAUUACUGACACUCAGAGACGAAAGCUAGGGGGAGCAAAUGGG
rnacentral:rRNA from 1 species